rnacentral:sRNA from 1 species
UGACAGGCUUCUCUGUAUGUGCCACACA